rnacentral:lncRNA from 1 species
UGCACUCCAGCCUGGGCUGCAGAACAAGACUCCUUUCAAAAAAAAAAAAAAGGAAAACUUUUUUUCACAAAUGCAUCAAACUGUUUGGAAUGACAAGAUUGAGUGAUUUCUGAAGGCUUCAUUUUAUAAUGCCCGAAAGAACAACACUUUGUUCCCCAAUUACAGGCUUCUGUUCUGUCUUUGUCCUGCAGCUGCACAGUGGGGCAAGACUUGGGUUUGGUUUUGUUGCUGCUUUGUUGCUUCUUCAUUUGACUGUUUCCCCAUGAGUCUUAUAAUGAAUUAUGUUCUCCUCUGACAUUGUUCCUCACCUAAGAAAAUCCACAGCUGUCUCUUCCUUGAGGCCUGAAGUCAACAACAUUACAACCUCAUUUCCCUUUUAUCCACCUCCUUUUCCCAUCUGGGUGGACACCCCAGCCAACUAGUGAUUCAGUGUUAUCAGUUCAGACAGACCAGUUUAGGAGCUACACUCCUAUAUCAUUUGCUUUGUAAUUUGUGAAGAGGCACAUAGCAUAAAGAGAGCUCUUCUAGCUGCAAUGCACAUGCAAGAAUUUUUGCUUUUGAUUAUAGCCUAAUCUUUAUAUCAUCCUGCUGGAGACAAAAUAGCAGCUGCAGUGUUGAAUGAAACUCUGCCAUUUUAGUGGUUUUAGGUCAUUUGGGGAAUGGGAGUAAAGACCUGUAUUCUGUGGCAAGAAUUAAUUUUACCAUCAGAAAUACUAGCUAGUGUGUGAGCAUGGGAGAGGGAUGGGGACAGGGUCGAAUAAUUCUGUGCCUAAUAGCUAAUUCAAGUAACUGGGGUUUUUAGGUAAAAAGUCAUAAUAGUAAUAUAUAUAUGUAUAUAUAUGUGAAUAUAUGUGUAUAUAUGUAUGUAUAUAUGUUGCAUUUUAAUACAAAGACAUUAAGAAUUUUAUUUCAUUUCCUGAAAUGUUCACAUGUCCAGUUUUAUUCUGAGAAUAACUCAACAGAUGUCUAAAUUGUUGAUACUCUCCUAGGUUCCUCAUAGAAUAUUAAAUUAAAAUUCAAUAGAUUAGUAUUCAUGCCUGAAGUCCUAGGAAAUAUAAUUUUGUUUAUUGGCAGCCCUAGUCAAACAUGCUAGAAGACAGAAUAUUUAUAAUUCACUGGUUUUAUUGACAUUCACUCAAAUUCUGUUGUUUUUAAAGAUCAAGUUAAAGACUACACAGACCUUCAAAACUUAGCAUAGCACAACUGGGAUAUCUCUCAAAUAAAAUAGGCAUCAACAAGGGAUAAGCAACUAACCACUUAAUGUAAGACUUUAUGCUUGCUUUUCCAGUUAUAUUUCUGAAUUUUGCAAACUAAUUUGUGUCCUUUUUUUGAAUAAAUUUCAUUUCUAUAGAGAUGUCUAAAAAUUAUUUAGCAGACUACAUUAAAAGAGAGUGGAGCUAACUUCUUAACAUAGGUUAAUAUACUCAGUGCAACAAGCUGUGGACCAAGAAAUCUUCAUUUUCUAGCAAAAUCAUUUGACUUUGUGAUUAUUUUAAACUGUUUAUACUUAUUGCCAGGUUUAGUGACCAGAAACCAAAUGUUAAAAUCAUUCUUGGAUUCAAUUUACAUUUUAAAUAAUACCUACAAUACAAGUUCCCUUUUAAGAACUAAGGUCUCUAACCUGUUUCUGGUUGAGGUCAUAGUAUAAAUUUCUCCUCUUCAGGCCUUCUAGUGUCUUUCUAGACUUUCCUUUCUCCCUGUGUCUCCCACAGGCUUCCUUUCUCACCUGCCUCUACUUGUCAGUCUUCAAAUCAGAGAAAAUCAGGAUCAAUAUCUGCUUUGGGAAAGACAGGAGAUAGAUCAGUCGAGGAGAUCAACUGCAUGGUUACCCAAGUGAGCAAUUAAUAGGGUAAAAUUCCCAACUGCUUUAAGAAAUCACUGCUUUUUGAGAGUCAAACACAUCAGGUGCAUAUUUUUCAGUACUGUCCACUUUGGUGCAAACUUCAGGAUAUGGUGGUAGAUAUUUGUUGACUUCUGUCAAUAGAAAUUUAGCCACAGUCAAUAUGGGGAAAAUUGACUAAAUUACAUGUUUCAUUCAUUCAUUCAACAGCAAAUACAUUAAAGCCCGCUAUGUAUCAGACAUGCUUUGAGGCUUGAAACACAAGAUUCACAACAGAGGAUAAAACUAGAGAAAGAUAUUCUAGGUAAGAUCAACAGGAAGAACAAAGGUCUCCCAGCAAAAAUGCAUAAGGUAAGUGUGGGCAGUUCAGAAAAUAUAAAGUGAUCGAAAGGAAAGAAAAGGAAACUGUAGGCAAAUGAAUUUAGUCUUUUACAUUUAGUAAAGGAAGCUCCAUGAGGACCUCUGAGCACAGUGGGGGCUGUAUGUGUCAUAGAGCACCAGACAGAAAGUUAGAAGGUCUUGGUUGUAGUGACUAGCCUGCCACUUUCUAAACCUAUGUUUCCUCAUUUACACACUCAGAUAUGUAAGAUGUUCUGGAGGUGUCUUCCGGCAGAACAAUUCUGCAAUUCUGCAUUUUCGAAAAUGGGUCUACAGAAAGAGUAGGGAUUGGGCUAUGAGUUAUGAGGCUCCUUGAAGUUCUAGGGGUGAGACAAUAAGGAUAAAGCGAGACUUCAGAGACAGGAAGGGAAGUUUGCCCCUGUGGUUGUUCAGGCUGUGCACUACAAAUCUCUAGGGGUUGCUAUUUGCAUGAACUAAGAUGACAAGACAGGUUAAGAGGUUUCAAAGUUCUUUGUGGUUGGAUGGGCUGGAGGUGCAGGCUUGGAGAUCUCCUGUAGGAAGAAGUCAUGUGGUGAAAGUUCUAUUCCUGAUGGCCCCAAAUUCCUGCCCUAUCACCUGUUCUUCCUCUACGCCACACUUGCGCCUUGGUAACAGAACAUUCAAUGGGACUACAGUGAAAUUUGGGAGUCAUUGACAUAGCCAGCAAUGGAUACAAUGACUGUUGGAACUAUAUACAUCUCCUUACUGUUGGGAAAAGUGAGAAUUCCUCACCAGCAAGAAGGAUAGUUGUAUCUUAUAAGGGUGGAAAUACAGAGUUAUUUACUUGUUGUAUGAAAGUUGAAAUGUGUGUAAAAGGGUGUAUGGAAUCUGAGUUGUCAAAAGAAUAAACAAUGACAUUAAUUUAUUGCUUAUCUCAUAAUCGAUUAUGCAUUAUCUCCUGUGUAAUAAUGGAGCCAGUCCUCCAGAUAUUUCUCCUUCACAGUGAGCAUUAUGAUAUAAGCUUUAUCAGUAGAGGGUGUGGAGGGAUAUUGCUUCUGGGGUGCUGCUGUGUUGUAGUCUUCCUGCUCCUACCACAGCGCUUCCAGAAGUAGACAUGGAAAAAAUCCAGUGGUGCUCCACUGCAGCUGCUUGUCCAGAGCUUGUAGGUCCUUGCAAGCCCACAUUCCUUACCCUAGCCUAGUGGCCACCUCACUGUGGCCCUCUCCACAGUCACCACAUGCUCUAUGUUUUACAGCACCCUGCUAGGAAGUGAUCUCUCAGUACCCUAAUUCAGUAUUCUAAUGCACACUGCUUAGAGUAUCUUCUGGGACCUUCUGAGAAAUUGAUCUGACUGGAGAGUUUUCCAGCUUUACUAAUAAAUCCACUCUAGAAUGUUCUUUUUUCUGAGCCUUUUGUUCACUUAUUCUAUAGUCAUAUGGCCAUAUCGAUUCUGGCAUUUUCACUUCACUUAGUGUGUGCCAUCACUCUUUCUAAGCUUUCAAGAGCCACUCUAACCACUGUUAGCACCACCUCUAAGGGCCUUUCUAGGGUGUUAAGUCCUUUAAUACUAUAGGAGAGUACACUCAUAUCAAUAAACUCUCUCUUAUCCAACCCUAUAUUCCAUCUCGCUUGACCUACAACCCUCAAGAUCUAGUUCUCUACAAUAUUUCCAGUUCCUGCCAGGAAGUACUGGUCAAAUUCUACAGCCCCUUCAACGUAUAGUCUUAUCUUCCCCUAGCAGGCCCAACACAUGGCCCAAUGGACUUUGCUGGGAUUUGACCCUUCCUUUUUAUUGGUCUGGUUUCCAGGAAAGCAUAACUGAAGCUUAUCUUGUAUAGCAUCUACCUAAUUGGAGGCCUCUGCAUUAUCUUUAAAUAAAGAAGGGGCCACUAUCUUCUAACAAGUGUGAGUGGGUCAUUUCUAUAUGUCCAGUGCACUCAGGAGAAUCUGAGAGUUCAAGGUUCUCAAAUGCAUCUACCUAUACCUAUCCCUAUCCCAUUUUGCAGUGUCUCACUCUUUCCCUAGUAGAACUUGGGCCUAGAAAGCCGGCUGUGUUAGAGAAUUUAAUCUUCUCUUAAGUUCCACUACUAAGUGGAUCUAAAGCCUGAGCCUGAUCUUGAGUCUGAUCUUCCAGCCACAGGAGAUACCUUAAGUACCGCCAAAGAGUUAUCUCAUGCCUGCACAUUUCGUCAUGAAUUGAUGACUUACCACCCAGAGCCUGUUAUUAUAUCUCUUCAAUGAGUCAUUGGUACUCAGCAUCAACCACCCAAUCCCAUGGUUCUUAUGGGUGUCAUUUCCUUCACAUGUCUCUAGCACUAUAAAAAUUGCAUCAGCCAGUUCAUUUUCUUCCACCAAAAUUUUGUUCAAGUUCGCCACCAGUGAGAGUUUUAACUACACUGCCACAGCAUCCCUGGGGCCAUUUGUUCUCCAUCCCAUCCCCACUAGUGAUGAGAUCCUCAUUGCCAGCCAGCCAAUGAAUGAUCUGUCUCCAGAAGCCCAUUUAGAGGCUGCUUACUAGAACCACUUCUGAUAGUUACAUUGGUUCUCUGGCGAGAGAUACCAAAUGAAUAGUGUUGGGGUGAAGGAGUGGGCUCUCAGAGAUAUAAUUUAAAGGAAGAGAGGAGGGCAGGAUUGGGUAAAAGAGAAACUGAUUUAUAACUGAGGCCUCAGCUAAUCCUAUGGAGAAUUUUGGAGCUGAAAUGUCCUUCGCUGUGUCUCAAAUUGAGUCCCAAGGAGGCUGGGCCUUUUUCUCCCUACCUCAGCAUACUGGCUGUGAGCCACCUUUGCCAGGGGGUGUAACUUUGGGCAAGGCCAAUCCCAGAGACUGAGGGUGAAUCCAAUGAGGAAUGCAGCUGUGAGCCAUCAAUAGCUGAUAGUCCCAGAAGUCAGGGACUGGGUGAAUGAGAUCUAAAGAGGAGAUCUUGGGGGAGCACCACAGUAUUUACUACGCCACCAGCUGGUGAGCCAGAUCCUACUAACAUGCGCCUAGCCUGGAUCAGAAUUCAUUCCAGAACAGGCCAGUAGGUUUAACGUCUUCAGUGCCUGCAAAGGAGAUUAGCUGGGUAUAGAAGGGACUGACCACUUGCCUCUAUUCCAAAAUAAAAACUUAUUGAAAAGGAGUCAUUUUAGUUCAUUUAAUUAAAUUACCAUUUUUAUGGGCAUGGCUUUUAUAUUCUUCCCUUUGUUCCUGCAGUUUGGAAUGAAAGAGGAAUGAAAAGAAGGAGGGAAGUUCGUUGGUUUAUUGAGCACUCGGGUGUCAGGCCUUAACCCUUGGCAACUCUGCCCUUUUGCAGAUGAAACUGAAGGUGGAGACAAGCACCAGGCUUGCAGUGUGAAUUACUUCCCUCUUGUCACAAUUUGGUGAUUAAUCAGCCGUGACUGCAGAAUAAAAUGGAAAGUAACUACGGGUAAACAUGACACUCACAUUAAAUCAAGUUAGUUCAUCCUGAUUAACAUGGCUUCCCUCGGAAAUAAAUAAAUUAGUAGUCAUCUCUGGUUUAAAUUGCGUUCAAAAGAAAGGAGGGCUGAGGGAUGCUACAGCCACUCUGGAAAUUAUUGCUUACAUCCCUGAAACAGAAAAAAUAUCUUUUGACCCUGCAAUUCUACCCUGACCAUCCACAGCAGAGGGCAAGCUGAAGUUUGUUUACAGCUGAGGCGUGAGUCCUCCCAACCCACAUUCAGAAUGACUGUCCUGCUGGUCUGCAGAAUCCAAGGUGAUACGAAGCUGACUGCUCUGAAUGUCUGUUCUCUCUUCCUGAUGUGAAUGGCUCCCUACAGGGCGGGGGUGCAGUGAGUGAAGCACUCAUCUCUGGUGCUAAAUUUAAGUGGUCACCAAAACACUCAGGAAUCCUGACAAAUAUUUUUGAAAGUCAAAAGUAAGGCAAAAAAAAAGAUAUGAUGAACAAGAUAUCUAAACUUUAAAUAAAGACAAAAUCAAUUUAUUGAUUUUAACUUUUGCCUUAAGUUCCAACCUAGUUCAUUACUGCACUGCUGAAGGGGAAGAGUAUAAUUUCAAGGUAUUGGCUUAAAUGGACUUUCUAUCUUAAGUUAUGGCCUCUAGGGCAAUGGUUCUACAACUUUAGUGUACACCAGAGUCACCUGGAAAGCUUGUGAAAAGACAAGAGCUCAACCCCAAAUCUAGAAUUUUGAUUUAUUGAAAAUGAGAUGGGGCCUAAGAAUUUGCAUUGCUAACAAGUUCUAGGCAAUAAGGCUGUUGCUGAUGCAGUGCUAUGGUCUGAAUGUUGGUGCCCCUCCACAUUCAUAUGUUGAAACCUAACCCCCAACAAUAGUUUUAAGACAUGGGGCCUUUAGGAGGUGCUUAAGUCAGUAGGGCAGAGACCUCGUGAAUGGGAUUGGUGCUCUUAUAAAAGAAGUUGAAGGAAGCUGCCUUGCCCCUUCUGAUGUGUGAAGACUCAGAACGAAGUACCAUCUGUGAAGCAGAGAGUGAGCCUCCACCAGACACUGAAUCUGUUGGUAUCCUGAUCUUGAACUUUCCAGCUUCCAGAACUGUGAGAAAUUAAGUUUCUAUUUUUUAUAAAUGACCCAGUCUAAGGUAUUUUGUUAUAGCAGCCCAAACAGACUAAGACAUGCAGGAGCCACAACUUAAGAACCACUGUAGAGACAGCUGUAUAAAUAGUUAGCCAGUAAAUCCCAAAG